UACGUAGGGUGCAAGCAUUGUCCGGAAUUAUUGGGCGUAAAGAGCUCGUAGGCGGUCUGUCGCGUCUGCUGUGAAAACUCGGGGCUUAACCCCGGGCCUGCAGUGGAUACGGGCAGGCUGGAGGCAGGCAGGGGAGAACGGAAUUCCUGGUGUAGCGGUGAAAUGCGCAGAUAUCAGGAGGAACACCGGUGGCGAAGGCGGUUCUCUGGGCCUGUACUGACGCUGAGGAGCGAAAGCGUGGGGAGCGAACAGG
rnacentral:rRNA from 1 species